rnacentral:rRNA from 1 species
UGGGGAAUAUUGGACAAUGGGCGCAAGCCUGAUCCAGCCAUGCCGCGUGAGUGAUGAAGGCCUUAGGGUUGUAAAGCUCUUCACCGGUGAAGAUAAUGACGGUAACCGGAGAAGAAGCCCCGGCUAACUUCGUGCCAGCAGCCGCGGUAAUACGAAGGGGGCGUAGCGUUGUUCGGAUUUACUGGGCGUAAAGCGCACGUAGGCGGAUCGAUCAGUCAGGGGUGAAAUCCCAGGGCUCAACCCUGGAACUGCCUUUGAUACUGUCGAUCUGGAGUAUGGAAGAGGUGAGUGGAAUUCCGAGUGUAGAGGUGAAAUUCGUAGAUAUUCGGAGGAACACCAGUGGCGAAGGCGGCUCACUGGUCCAUUACUGACGCUGAGGUGCGAAAGCGUGGGGAGCAAACAGGAUUAGAUACCC